rnacentral:rRNA from 1 species
ACGGCUCAGUAACACGUGGGUAACCUGCCUCAAAGAGGGGAAUAGCCUCCCGAAAGGGAGAUUAAUACCGCAUAACAUUAGUUUUUCGCAUGGAGAACUAAUUAAAGGAGCAAUCCGCUUUGAGAUGGACCCGCGGCGCAUUAGCUAGUUGGUGAGGUAACGGCUCACCAAGGCGACGAUGCGUAGCCGACCUGAGAGGGUGAUCGGCCACAUUGGAACUGAGACACGGUCCAGACUCCUACGGGAGGCAGCAGUGGGGAAUAUUGCACAAUGGGCGAAAGCCUGAUGCAGCAACGCCGCGUGAGUGAUGAAGGCCUUCGGGUUGUAAAGCUCUGUCUUUUGGGACGAUAAUGACGGUACCAAAGGAGGAAGCCACGGCUAACUACGUGCCAGCAGCCGCGGUAAUACGUAGGUGGCGAGCGUUGUCCGGAUUUACUGGGCGUAAAGGAUGCGUAGGCGGAUAUUUAAGUGAGAUGUGAAAUACCUGGGCUUAACUUGGGUGCUGCAUUCCAAACUGGGUGUCUAGAGUGUUGGAGAGGAAAGUGGAAUUCCUAGUGUAGCGGUGAAAUGCGUAGAGAUUAGGAAGAACACCAGUGGCGAAGGCGACUUUCUGGACAAUAACUGACGCUGAGGCUCGAAAGCGUGGGGAGCAAACAGGAUUAGAUACCCUGGUAGUCCACGCCGUAAACGAUGGGUACUAGGUGUAGGGGUAUCGACUCCCCCUGUGCCGCCGUUAACACAAUAAGUACCCCGCCUGGGGAGUACGGUCGCAAGAUUAAAACUCAAAGGAAUUGGCGG